rnacentral:rRNA from 1 species
GGCCAGCAGCCGCGGUAAUACGUAGGGGGCAAGCGUUAUCCGGAAUUAUUGGGCGUAAAGAGUGCGUAGGUGGAUUUACAAGCCUUUGGUGAAAGGCUACGGCUUAACCGUAGUAAGCCUUAGGAACUGUAAAUCUUGAGUGCAGGAGAGGAAAGCGGAAUUCCUAGUGUAGCGGUGAAAUGCGUAGAUAUUAGGAGGAACACCAGUGGCGAAGGCGGCUUUCUGGACUGUAACUGACACUGAGGCACGAAAGCGUGGGGAGCAAACAGGAUUAGAUACCCUGGUAGUCCACGCCGUAAACGAUGAGUACUAGGUGUCGGGAUCGCGAGGUCUCGGUGCCGCAGCUAACGCAUUAAGUACUCCGCCUGGGGAGUACGCUCGCAAGAGUGAAACUUAAAGGAAUUGGCGGGGGA